rnacentral:rRNA from 1 species
AGAGUUUGAUCAUGGCUCAGAUUGAACGCUGGCGGUAGGCUUAACACAUGCAAGUCGUGCGAGAAAGUAUCUUCGGAUAUGAGUAGAGCGGCGGACGGGUGAGUAACGCGUAGGAAUCUACCUAGUAGAAGGGGAUAGCCCGGGGAAACCCGGAUUAAUACCGUAUACCUCCUUCGGGAGAAAGAAGGCCUCUCUUUGAAGCUUUCGCUACUAGAUGAGCCUGCGUAAGAUUAGCUUGUUGGUGAGGUAAAGGCUCACCAAGGCGACGAUCUUUAGCUGGUCUGAGAGGACGAUCAGCCACAUUGGGACUGAGACACGGCCCAGACUCCUACGGGAGGCAGCAGUGGGGAAUAUUGGACAAUGGGCGCAAGCCUGAUCCAGCCAUACCGCGUGUGUGAAGAAGGCCUUCGGGUUGUAAAGCACUUUAAGCAGGGAGAAAAAGUUAUAAGCUAAUACCUUAUAACCUUGAUGUUACCUGCAGAAUAAGCACCGGCUAAUUCCGUGCCAGCAGCCGCGGUAAUACGGAAGGUGCAAGCGUUAAUCGGAAUUACUGGGCGUAAAGCGCGCGUAGGUGGUUUGUUAAGUUGGAUGUGAAAGCCCUGGGCUCAACCUAGGAACUGCAUCCAAAACUAACUCACUUGAGUACGAUAGAGGGAGGUAGAAUUCAUAGUGUAGCGGUGGAAUGCGUAGAUAUUAUGAAGAAUACCAGUGGCGAAGGCGGCCUCCUGGAUCUGUACUGACACUGAGGUGCGAAAGCGUGGGUAGCGAACAGGAUUAGAUACCCUGGUAGUCCACGCCGUAAACGAUGACAACUAGCUGUUGGGAGACAAUGUCUUUCAGUGGCGCAGCUAACGCUUUAAGUUGUCCGCCUGGGGAGUACGGCCGCAAGGCUAAAACUCAAAUGAAUUGACGGGGACCCGCACAA